UUUAAUUGGUCUGUUUAAAUCAUAUUAAUCAGAUUGGACCCAAGUAAAGGAAACAGUGCUGUUAAUUUAGGUCAAAGCCUAAUGAUUUUUUGUCUUUACAGCACCAAGCAGUCUCAGACCAGCAGGCAGUCACAAUAAUGUUUGAUGCAUGAUGGAGAGUACUACAGGAUUUACAACUGUUACCAGAGCUGAACUCAGUACUCCAGGUGGGGUCUCACAAGAGCAGAGUAGAGGGGAGAAUGAAGGUGAAGUCUGGAACAAAGAGCUCUCAAUAGAGAAAAAGAGAAGGCUUUCUAACCUGGUCAUGGAAAAUUAUGAAUUCACAGCAUGUAGCCAACUUCAAUAAAGAAGCCCACAGAUAUUGAGACUCCAGUGGAAUAUAAAGCCUCUUAUCUGCAGACUUGUGAGCACUGAGUGCUGGAGCCUGGCUGAAGACUCUUCAGUCACCUGAGACUCCUGGGUCGAGGCUGGAAGCCUCUGUAGAAGAGGAGAAUAUGGAGGUGGAUCAGUUCGAUAUUUUCAUUUAAACGGGUCUAUUAUUCCUAGAGAAAUAAUGUACUGUGUAUAUGUCAGCUUUACUCUAGGCUUAACAGAGAAAAUACAAACAUGAUUUGAAUGAAGGAGAAGAAUAAGUGGUUACAAUUAUAUAUAUAUUUUUUUUUAAUUUAAAAAAAAAGGUAGAAAAAUUGAUGAGAUGCAGUCCCCAGGGGGGUCUGAUUUCCUUAUCUAUUUCUGAGAAUUAACUUGGGUGCAGUCUUGGUUGAAUACUUGGAAGAAAGACUGAAUUAUCAGUACCUUGGACAUUGGAGGUUACUAAUGAGGCAAGAAUGCACCCUCUGGGAACUUGUCUCUUACAUUUUAUCCAGAAGGUGAAAGCAAGAAAAUGUGUGGGAAGGACUCAUUACCUUCCUUUUAACUUACAAGUCCCCAUACUUAAAUUUUAAUCCUUUUUUGUUUGUUUGUUUUUGGUGUGUGUGAAAUUGCUAAUAGGCCCUUUCCAAACCUGUCAGAUCACUCUGCUUUGCUACUGAAGGUUCUUUGGGAUGUUGCUUUUCUACUUAGUUUCUUACCAAGGCUGGAUUUCAACUAUAACUGCCUUCAUAGAUGUCAAAAGCUACACUACCUAAAUCUGGCUUUGCAACCUGUAACAAAUCCCAUACCAGAAAUGGGGUCUAUUAUGCUACACUUCCAAUAAUCUUUCAAUUUGUUGUAUAUUCAUAGAGUCUAUAUGUAACUCAAUAGAGAUUUCAGGGAACAGGACACUGGCUAAACUCUCAUUGUGCAAAUGUAUCUGAUACUUCCACGCAGAGAAAAUUUUCAAAUUAACUGAUAACAGAACAGAUACUCGAAAGCUUUAGAUGUCAGCCUGUGCUGUGUACAUAUUGCACGUAGAGCGUUAGAAACCAAAGAUUUUAAAUUCUAAGAACAAAAAGCUAACAAGAAUUAUGAGAGAGGUUAAGAAAAUGAAUGAUGACUCUCAUCUUCUGAAAAGCUGAUAGGCAACUUAACUGCUGGGGUGCUUUAAGCUAAUGUGUGUAAAUUAUGUUUGAAUCAAAAUAGUUCAGCUUCUGCCAGCUCAGAGAGUGGACAAAGCUGCUUCAGCCAUCUGGAUCUAAGCCUUGGAACUAGAGCAAGCUGUUAAUCACUUUGCCUUUCUGUUUCCUUAUUUGUAGAAGGAUAGCAAUACUUGCAUUAAAAAAAAAAAUAAUAAAAAAAUGAAUAUUUACUAUGAAAGAGCA
rnacentral:lncRNA from 1 species